rnacentral:rRNA from 1 species
GAUGAACGCUGGCGGCGUGCCUAAUACAUGCAAGUCGAGCGAACAGACGAGGAUCUUGCUCCUCUGACGUUAGCGGCGGACGUGUGAGUAACACGUGGAUAACCUACCUAUAAGACUGGGAUAACUUCGGGAAACCGGUGCUAAUACCGGAUAAUAUAUUGAACCGCAUGGUUCAAUAGUUACAGACGGUUUUGCUGUCACUUAUAGAUGUAUCCGCGCCGCAUGAGCUAGUUGGUAAGGUAACGGCUUACCAAGGCAACGAUGCGUAGCCGACCUGAGAGGGGGAGCGGGCACGAGGGAGCGAAGAGACAGACCAGAACCGUACGGGAGGCAGCAGUAGGGAAGGUGGCAGAAGGGGCGAAAGCCUGACAGAGCAACGACGCGUGAGUGAGGAAGGUCGUCGGAUCGUAAAACGCUGUUAGGAGGGAAGAACAAAUGAGUAAGUAAGAAGGCAGGGGUGAAGGGUACCUAAGAAGAAGGCCAGGGCAAACUAGGG